rnacentral:rRNA from 1 species
UAUGUGAUCGUCUCUUGCAUAUCAAUAAGCGGAGGAAAAGAAACUAACAAGGAUUCCCCUAGUAACGGCGAGUGAAGCGGGAAGAGCUCAAAUUUGAAAUCUUAAAGGGUUUCCCUUUACGAAUUGUAGUUUAAAGAAGUGUUUUCUGUUGAGGUUUUGGUAAAAGUUCUUUGGAAUAGGACAUCAUAGAGGGUGAGAAUCCCGUAUUUGACCUUUACUUUCAACUUUGUGAUACACUUUCAAAGAGUCGGAUUGUUUGGGAAUGCAGUCCAAAAUGGGUGGUAAAUUUCAUCUAAAGCUAAAUAUUGGCGAGAGACCGAUAGCGAACAAGUACCGUGAGGGAAAGGAUGAAAAGAACUUUGAAAAGAGAGUUAAACAGUACGUGAAAUUGUCAAAAGGGAAGCGUUUGACACCAGUGUUGUUUUUCUGAAAAUCAAUUAAAGAACUGUUUAUGCUAAGCUGGUUAGACUUUAUCAGCUAACUGUUUAGUUUUGAGCUUUUCUUUAAUGCACUUUUCAGUUAACAAGUCAACAUCAAUUUCUUUUGCUGUAAAAAAGCUUGAGGAAGGUGGCUUGAGAUUCGUCUUAAGUGUUUAUAGCCUCUUGCCUAUGCAGUCGGAGAGAUUGAGGUCUGCAGCGUAGAUCCUUCGGGGCUAAAUGCAUUUGUGCUAAGUUAUAGCAUUUUAUAGACAACUUGUUGACUAUGAUUUGUCUUGUAGCUUACUCGCUUAUGUUAUUUUACCUACGCUUAGGAUGUUGAAUCUGUGCGAGACUAC